UGUUCGCCCAUUAAAGCGGUACGCGAGCUGGGUUCAGAACGUCGUGAGACAGUUCGGUCCCUAUCCGUCGUGGGCGUAGGAAAUUUGAGAGGAGCUGUCCUUAGUACGAGAGGACCGGGAUGGACAUACCUCUGGUGUACCAGUUGUCGCGCCAGCGGCAUAGCUGGGUAGCUAUGUAUGGACGGGAUAAGUGCUGAAAGCAUCUAAGCAUGAAGCCCCCCUCAAGAUGAGAUUUCCCAACUUCGGUUAUAAGAUCCCUCAAAGAUGAUGAGGUUAAUAGGUUCGGGGUGUAAGCACAGCAAUGUGUGUAGCUGACGAAUACUAAUCGAUCGAAGACUUAAUCAAAUUUUA
rnacentral:rRNA from 2 species